GAUGAACGCUGACAGAAUGCUUAACACAUGCAAGUCGAUGGGGAAGUGGUGCUUGCACCAUGGUAACCAUGGCGGACGGGUGGGUAACGCGUAAGGAACUUACCUGCGGGACCGGGAUAACAGCAGGAAACUGCUGACAAGACCGGAUAAGGUCAUUAAGCUGCAUAGCUUAGUGAUGAAAGGAGACGCCUGCGGAGAGCCUUGCGUCCUAUUAGCUAGUUGGAGGGGUAACGGCCCACCAAGGCGAAGAUAGGUAGCCGGCCUGAGAGGGUGGACGGCCACAAGGGGACUGAGAUACGGCCCUUACUCCUACGGGAGGCAGCAGUGGGGAAUAUUGGACAAUGGGGGCAACCCUGAUCCAGCAAUUCUGUGUGCACGAAGACGGUUUUCGGAUUGUAAAGUGCUUUCAGCAGGGAAGAAGGAAGUGACGGUACCUGCAGAAGAAGCGACGGCUAAAUACGUG
rnacentral:rRNA from 1 species